GCAAACACACUUAUAUAGAGAAGUAUGGAACAGGUUCCAUAUUCUCGAGAUCAUUAAAGGGAACAGGCUCCCUUGAAACUACAACAAAGACUAAAGACUUAUUCAAAUUUGAAAAGAGUUUUUAAAACAUGAAAUAAAAACCAUAGUUUAAAAAUAACCUAAGGAGGAACCGUGAUACAUCAUCUAAGGUUUAUGUAAGUAACUUGUGGCCUCAUUAAAAACCUUCCUUUGGAAAACCCAUUGGGACAAAACCAAAGGCUAGGAAAAGAGCACACACAAGCACUUGCUUAGAUGAUGAUCAGUUUGAAACCAUUGCUUGAAUGGUGAUAAGAGUGUCUUGAUUGAUCAAACGUCCAUCAAGACCGUCUUCUUGCUUCCAUGAGAUCAUAAGUAGACUUCCAACAGCUUCUUUGAGUCUUCUAGCUUUGGCGCGAGUGAUGGG
rnacentral:lncRNA from 1 species